ensembl:lncRNA novel transcript
GAUCCUCCUGUCUCAGCCUCCCAAGUAGCUGGGACCACCAUGCCCAGCUAAUUUUUGUAUUUUUUGUAGAGACAGGGUUUCUCCAUGUUGCCCAAGUUGGUCUCAAACUCCUGACCUCAAGUGAUCCACCCACCUUGGCCUCCCAAACUGCUGGGAUUACAGGCGUGAGCCACUCUGCCCGGCCUGUGCAUAUUUUCUUCACUGACGCUGUUUCCAAGUCACAGAGGCCUUCACACGUGUCUGGGAGGGUUUUGCCCGGGCACUUGCAGGGGUGGGGUGGGAGGAGCAUUUCUACCCGUGGCCCCUUCUUCUGCUUAAACACACGGCAGAUCCAGAAAUUUCUCUCCAGCAGAAUGCAGCCCCUCAAGGAUGGGGGCCUUGGUUACAUCGGUUUUUAUGUUUAACUUCCACCCAGAGCUUGGCGUUUCAGGGGAGCCUGAGUUGAAGGCACAAAUGCGUGACAGUUCCUGCUCUGCCCUUUACAAGCUGUGUGACCUUGGGCAAGUUACUGAACCUCUCUGUGCCUCAGUCAAUAGGGAUGAUGACGGCACCCCUUGCAGACCUUUUGGAAGGCUUAACUGGAUGAGUCACCCUAAGCAUUCGGAGCAGUGUGGGUGGGGGCGCUCUGGGUGGAGGAGACCAGCUCUAGGCGAGGGUGCCUGGACUCCCUCAUGGCUGCCUCUCUCUCCAGGCCCCGCCACCUCUGUUCAGCCAGCUCUGGGAGACUUGGAUUGCAUUUGGCUAUUGGAGAGUGUCACCCCAUCUUUUAAAGCUGCAGGGAAGUGAAGGAAUCAUCCUCUCUAGUCCUUUUGUUUGGAAACUGAGCCCAGAGACCACAAGCAAACUGGCUGGGGUCACACAGCUGCUGGGUCAGUCACAGAGCUGGGGGCAACCGUGGGCAUCCUGGUCUAUCGAGUGGGUCAUUGUGGUGGCUGCCGCCUACCUAACCAAACCUGGUCCCACGGGCCAGCUCUCACUGUGGGGCAGCCAGCUGGAGGGACGGGGCCAGCUUGCCCCACCCCGCCCCUCCCCUCCACAGCAGAGAGUGCCCUGGCUCCAUGGGGCCCAGCACAAGCUCUGGAGGCCACAGGAGUGCCUCCCCUCCAGGGCCUGGCAAGGCUGGCUCUCUGCAGGGCUGGUCAGGUCAGCUGCCUUGAUUUCCCUCUCCCAGGGGCCUGAUGUCAUCAUUCAGGGGCAGCCUGGGGACUUGAGGGAGGAUGCAGUUCCCACUGCCUUCUCCCGUCCUCCCCUCCCCUUCCCUUGCUUCUCCUUCUCCUUCCUGCUUCCACGUCCUGACCCCCUGGCCCUCCCCAGCCCGGCCCCUUAGCCUCCCCUCCCUCCCGGCCCCUCACUCCCCCCCUACCAGGGCUGCCCUGUGCUAGCGCCUGCCUGUGUGAAUGUCUAAUCUCCAAUUUUAUUCGCUGGGCUCCAGCCCAUUUGCAUAAUCCACACAGUCACCCUGGUUUUAAUUGCCCACAACUCUGCAGAAAGAUCAUGUGGUUAAGUGGUAAAUCAUAAUUAGAUAAAUAAUUGGUUUGGCCACAGCAAGCUGCUUUUGUUACACCUGCCAUCUGCUGGACCCGUUUUUUCUUCUGGCCAGAACAAUGCGGUUCUGAUGACAGAGCAUGCUGCUUCUCUCUUCUGGGGGGGCCGGAGGGGGCUGAAUGGAGGGGCUCGGAAGCAGUGCCUGGAAAAUUGCCCGGUUGCUGGGGUCCGCGCCUGGCCUGCGCUUCUUUCUCUCCAAGCGGGCACACCACACACUCGCCAUUCAUUACCCGGCUUGGUUAAUGCAUCAGAGUGGCAAAUUUGACUUCUUUGCAGAAAAGGGAGGGAGGAAAGGGGCCUGGAGGAGGAGGGGGACCAGCCAGGGCUGCCCAAGGCCUGGCCUGCCUGCCGGUUGUCGGUGGCCCCGAUGGGCCAGGGCAGGAGGCCUGCUGUGGAGGGCCUGGGCCCGAUCCCUGGGGGGUUGGGGGGGGGGGGCGGAGGGGACAGGCGGGCAGGGGUUGGAACCGCCAGACCUCCCUGCCCCACCGCGGUCAGCUUCUCCAUCUGCUCUCCACCGAAGCCUCCUUUAUUUUCCAUGCCCCAGGCCCCAUCUGUGAGCCCUGAGUCUCCAGGGGAAUUGUGGCUCCCUGGCUGGACGGUCGCCUGGCCAGGGCCUUCCUUGGGGCUGCUGGCCUGCCUUUCAUGCUGUCCUUCCAGCAAGCUCUUAGCUCCUAGACUUCAGGAACGGUUUCAAAUUGUCCUUCCUUCACUCGCUCCCUCACGCAUACACGCACACAUUCAUUCAUUCAGCAAACGCCCGUGGAGCCUCUUCCUACAUCAGAGUGCAGGUUCGAACUUGGUCUCCGUGGGUCAGAUGGCCGCUGUGGGAUGUGAGCAAGUUUCUCAGCCUCUCAGAGCAGGUUUCUUCCUCUGUAACACAGGAGUCAUUAUUGUCCCUGCCUUCUGGGCCUAUUAGGAGGAUCAAAGGACAGAAUGUGGAUAAAGUCUGUCGAGUGACACCUGCACGAAACACAGGCCCAGUGUCUGUGGCUGGUGAGUGCGUGACUGCUGGUCAUGCCCGCUCCCGGGGAGGGCGCCAGCGCCGCUCACCUUGGGCAUCAUUGGAGGCCCACGAGGCUGUGCUGAACAUGCUGAAGGAAGAGGUACCAGUGCCAUGGGAAGGGCCCAGGAAUGAGGAGCCUUGGAAAGAAACCAGGGGGCCAGGGGAACAGGCAGAGGGGCGGUAAGGAAGGGCAGGUUCUCUGGGGCCUGCACAGGCCAGGACGUUCCUGUCUCUGUUGAGUUCGGACUGGCAGGUUCUCUGGAGCCCACACAGGCCAGGACGUUCCUGUCUCUGUUGAGUACAGACCGGCAGGUUCUCUGGGGCCCGCACAGGCUGGGACAUUCCUGUCUCUCUCGAGUACAGACCAGCACAUGGUCCUGCUCUCUGGCCCCUGCAUCCCCUCCAGACUGCGUUCUGGAAGCCCUGCCCAGGCCUCACACGCUGCCCCAAGGGUCUUUAUUACCUGGGGUCUUCUAGCAUUUUCCUCUGGAGAAACUCAGGAAGCAUCCUUUCUCUGCAUCCUUUCUCUUUGGGGGCCCAGCUUCUCCUUUUCAGUUUGACAGACACAGCCUGAAUGCCCAAGGCCCCUCUGCGGAGACUUAGAGACUUAGGCUGGUGGAGAGGGUUGUGCCUCCUGGCUGAGAACCCCUCAGGGCAGAUAGCUGGCUCAGAGUCCUCAUGGUCUUGUUGAUCAGGAAACACUGGUAUGUUCCUUCCUGAAAACCCUCUGAUGCCUGUUGAGGAGCCUCUAGGACACGUUCCAUGUGGUUGGGACUUUGUAAUGCCAGAUCUUUUCUGUGUUUUAACAUUCCUCCAUCCAUCAUCUACCCAUCUACCUUUCAUCUAUUUCUCUCCCUCCCUCCCUUCCUUCCUCCCAUCCACUCACCCACCCAUUCAUUCAUGCACC